rnacentral:lncRNA from 1 species
CUAAUUAACAAGUUGUUCAUGACUGAAUUUGCAUUUCAGUAAAUAUAUUUUAAUAAUACAUACAUCUAUUAAAUAGUUUCUUGUUGUAGGUAAUGACUACGAUUAUUCAUCCUAGGUGGGAGAUGGAUGAGAAGGCUAGGAUUUUUCGUGUUUGUGUUUGGUUUAGGCCUAUUCAGCCUCCAACUAAUGCGGAGGAAACUGCUAGUAGAGUGAGGAGGGCAGGGUUAAGGGAUUGGGAUGUUAUGAGGAGAAGGGUUAUUGGGGGGAGUUUUAUUAGGGUAGAGAGUAGAAGGGCUGUGAUUAGGGAUUGUGAUGUUAUGAGGAGGAGGCUUAUUGGAGGGAGUUUUAUUAGGGUGGAGAGUAGCAGGGUGGUAGCUAGGGAGGAGCCUUAAAGUACUUUAGGAAAUCAGAAGUGGAAGGGGACUAGUCCUAAUUUGAUU